rnacentral:rRNA from 1 species
UACGUAGGGUGCGAGCGUUAAUCGGAAUUACUGGGCGUAAAGAGCGCGCAGGCGGUCGGAUAAGUCGCGUGUGAAAGCCCCCGGCUCAACUGGGGAGGGUCACGCGAUACUGUUCGACUCGAAGGCAGGAGAGGGUAGUGGAAUUCCCGGUGUAGUGGUGAAAUGCGUAGAUAUCGGGAGGAACACCAGUGGCGAAGGCGACUACCUGGCCUGUUCUUGACGCUGAGGCGCGAAAGCUAGGGGAGCAAACGGG